rnacentral:rRNA from 1 species
UACGUAGGUGGCCAGCGUUGUCCGGAUUUACUGGGCGUAAAGAGCGCGCAGGCGGUCGUUCAAGUCGAGUGUGAAAGCCCCCGGCUCAACUGGGGAGGGUCAUUCGAUACUGAUCGACUCGAAGGCAGGAGAGGGAAGCGGAAUUCCCGGUGUAGUGGUGAAAUGCGUAGAUAUCGGGAGGAACACCGGUGGCGAAGGCGGCUUCCUGGACCGAUUACUGACGCUGAGGCGCGAAAGCUAGGGGAGCAAACCGG